AGUGAACGCUGGCGGUAGGCCUAACACAUGCAAGUCGAACGGCAGCACAGUAAGAGCUUGCUCUUACGGGUGGCGAGUGGCGGACGGGUGAGGAAUACAUCGGAAUCUACUUUUUCGUGGGGGAUAACGUAGGGAAACUUACGCUAAUACCGCAUACGACCUACGGGUGAAAGCAGGGGAUCUUCGGACCUUGCGCGAUUGAAUGAGCCGAUGUCGGAUUAGCUAGUUGGCGGGGUAAAGGCCCACCAAGGCGACGAUCCGUAGCUGGUCUGAGAGGAUGAGCAGCCACACUGGAACUGAGACACGGGCCAGACUCCUACGGGAGGCAGCAGUGGGGAAUAGUGGAAAAUGGGCGCAAGCCGGAUCCAGCCAUACCGCGUGGGUGAAGAAGGCCUUCGGGUUGUAAAGCCCUUUUGUUGGGAAAGAAAAGCAGCAGGUUAAUACCCCGCUGUUCUGACGGUACCAAAAGAAUAAGCACCGGCUAACUUCG
rnacentral:rRNA from 1 species